rnacentral:rRNA from 1 species
GACGAACGCUGGCGGCGUGCUUAACACAUGCAAGUCGAACGAAGUGGCGAACGGGUGAGUAAUACGUGGGUAACCUGCCCUCCUUUUUGGGAUCAGCCUUGGAAACGGGGUCUAAUACCGAAUAAAGGGGGAUGGGCUCGCGGCCUAUCAGCUUGUUGGUUGUGUGAUGGCCUACCAAGGCGGUGACGGGUAGCCGGCCUGAGAGGGUGACCGGCCACAUUGGGACUGAGAUACGGCCCAGACGCGUACGGUAGGCAGCAGUGGGGGAUAUUGCACAAGGGGGGAAACCCUGAGGCAGCAACGCCGCGUGCGGGAUGACGGCCUGCGGGGGGUAAACCGCUUUCAGCCAUGACGCGGUAGUGGCAGAAGAAGCACCGGCUAACUACGUGCCAGCAGCCGCGGUAAUUC